GCGGGUCCCCAGCUUGCCUCCUCCAGACUCCUGCACCGAGAGUUUGGGAGCCUCGUCGGCAGCAGCCUGGGCGAGGGGUCGCUUCUCCCUAGCGGAGCCCCCCACACCUGCCCCCACAACGGCGCCAAGCCGGGGCCUCCGCGACCAGCGGAGGUCUAAGGGCCCCGAGUCUGGCCCAUGUGAUGGCACUGCUGCCAUGCUGUGCUGCCAGAGAUUCGGAGAUGGAUGCCAACAUGGGCCUGAGCCACAGACCACCUUCUAGCACCCUCCCUGCACGUGCUGUCGCCCAGCCAGCCCUCACCAACCUCUACUCCGACCUCCAACCUGAUGCAUGACAUCUGUCCUUGGUGUCUGGGGUCAGUGACUGCUCUGAAGCGUGACCAGGACACUCCUGGAAGGCGGCCACCUACCACCCUCCAAGUCCUGUCCCCUGCAGGACACCUUCCCUCCCAGCCCAGACAUGACUGAGCUCCUCCCCACUGUCCACGGUGACCCUCCGUUUCCCCCAAACUCACUCCACCACGGGUGGGUUAAAAUUUAACUGCUUCCUCUCCCUCCCUGUUCUCGCUUUCUUCUGCUUCCAAAUUCUGCACACCCUCCCCUUGGUUGCUUUUAUUUUAAAAUGCAUUGGGUGUUCA